AUUGAACGCUGGCGGCAGGCCUAACACAUGCAAGUCGAGCGGUAGCACAGAGAGCUUGCUCUCGGGUGACGAGCGGCGGACUGGUGAGUAAUGUCUGGGAAACUGCCUGAUGGAGGGGGAUAACUACUGGAAACGGUAGCUAAUACCGCAUAACGUCGCAAGACCAAAGAGGGGGACCUUCGGGCCUCUUGCCAUCAGAUGUGCCCAGAUGGGAUUAGCUAGUAGGUGGGGUAACGGCUCACCUAGGCGACGAUCCCUAGCUGGUCUGAGAGGAUGACCAGCCACACUGGAACUGAGACACGGUCCAGACUCCUACGGGAGGCAGCAGUGGGGAAUAUUGCACAAUGGGCGCAAGCCUGAUGCAGCCAUGCCGCGUGUAUGAAGAAGGCCUUCGGGUUGUAAAGUACUUUCAGCGGGGAGGAAGGUGUUGUGGUUAAUAACCACAGCAAUUGACGUUACCCGCAGAAGAAGCACCGGCUAACUCCGUGCCAGCCGCCGCCGUAACAC
rnacentral:rRNA from 1 species